GGACUUGGAACAAAAGGGGAAACUCUGAUGAACUCCUUCUCCAGCUCCCUGGACGCCCGAGUAUCUCUUUCUCGCAACUUUGUCAACGCGACUUUCUCCGCUGUCAGGCUGCGCAAAAGUAUCCUAGCGCCUCGCAGGCUGCAACAAUGGAAACAAUGUCCCUUCAAAGUGCGACGAAGUGGAGGGAGAAGGUGUCAUACCAGCGACUCCAAGAGUCAUGUCACCCACUUAGCAGGAGUACUUCUACUGAAAUGCCUUCGAAUUUCUCUUACUGGAUAUAUACCUACCAGCCGCUAGCAUGAAGAUGCCAGGACCGCUGCAAGUUAGCACUGGACAAAGUAGCAUCAACUUCUUCAUUUAGAGUUUCUUCAGUUAAAUUGCUGGGAUUUUCGACAAGGCUUUCCUUAUGUGGAUUAUUGGAGUGUGAUGCCCGAGAAUUCUCUACUUGUAGAAGCACGCCCACGGGACUGCAGAAGCCUUCACACCCACCCAGCACGCUCAGAUCAUCCAGUAACCAACCCAGGAAGUUCUUGUAAGCAUGCAUUUCUUAGUCAACACUGAAUGCCUUUAGACCGAGGUCAACCUUUUCAGCUGGUACCGUGGUUUACACUGCUGAUGGGAAUGAGUGAUGGCCAUCCAGUGACCAGCUGGAUCUGACUGCCUUACAAGACGCAUGUGUAUGAUUAAGAGAGAGACAUUCGUGACUCCCAGAUGUACCUCCUUCCUGUCCCACAGUGUUCCUGAAGGGAGUGAGUUAUGGGGUAACUUAUAACACAGCAGGCUCUUCCUCAAGAUAGCUCUUGUCAAAACAGGAAGACGAAACUCGGGUUUCCAUGAGGAGACCACAGCUUGGGAUCCUGUCUGGAUGUACAAGCAGAAGCAUCUUCAUACUUUUCCAUUUCUAACCAUCAUGCCUCACCCCACCCUCCCAAGGCGACAUCUGCAGAGAGGUGGAACCAUCUAGGGAGGCCUGCCACUGUUUGCUGAGCUCCGGGUGAGGAUGAAGACACUUUGACAUGGCCAGCUUCAGACUCGGGAUCUGUCGGUGUUAGCAGCCGAAGUUUUCAGGAUGUGUUCCUGAGUCUCGUGAGUAGCACAUGGCAGUUGUUGUCACCUUGGGCUGAGCCGUGAAGAUUCUCACCCUCCCUUGUUGGGGAUGAACUCCGGGAUUCUAAGGAGAGGUCAGCAGGUGUUUCACAGACUGUUCCUGUUGGAGGAUUUGUCUGAUACUCUUCUCCUGAUUAGUCUGGGCUCUACAUUUCCCCAAGGGUGAAACUUGGAAGCCCUCUCCAGGAUGCAGCAGGUAGCUGAGGAGAAAACGAAGACUGACCAGCCCAGAGCUCAGAGCUUCCUCCCAUGCUCAGGAUUUACCACCAAUGCCAUUACAUCGGCCUCUUCUUGUAUGCCUCUGGAAACCACAUGUGUCCUCUGUUUGUAAUGGUUUGGCUAUGGUUGCUGGCCCCUCUUGGACAUUGUUUUCAGAACUUAAAGAAACAUUGCUUUAAAGAUUUAUUAGAACAUAUUUAAAAUAAAACCAUCUUCUCAUUUA
rnacentral:lncRNA from 1 species